GGUUCCUCUGUUUCUUCGCCAUGAAACAACACGACCAAGCUUCUUCUUUCACGCCGUGCUCUGUAACUCAUCCGCCUCGCGGUGUGACAGUAAUAAAAAAAAAGCAAAAUUUACGUUUUAAGAACAGAGUAAUUUUGAGCUUGAAAUAGUGUCUUAAACCAUAUUUCUACAGGUUUAAAGGUAUAAUAAGCAAAAAAAACGAAAACAAACUGAUGAUUCAGGUGAGAAUAAUGGCUGGCGGCUAUAGAGAGAAAUUGCAGAAAACCCUAAACGAUUUUGGGGAAGAUGAAGUUAAAAUUACGAAAAUGCCACUAAUUAAAAAACGUAGAAAAAAAUGAUUCAUA
rnacentral:lncRNA from 1 species